ensembl:lncRNA
AGCCUGAAAGUUGAAAGAAUGGCCUUGGUGGAAUUUAAUAGAACUCCUCCAAAUGAUUAAAAGGAUAAACCCCACCAUUUGAUGGAGUGUUCCUUUAUAAAUGCAAGCGAAGCAGAACCAGCCCAGGGUUUUAAAGAAGAGCCUACAAGACUUCUGACAGAAGAAACUGAAUGAGAAGCUUCCUAAAGAUUAGAAGGAAGCACUGGAUAUGGCUAUAUGGUUAAAAAAAGACAACUUUCAGAUAAGGAACAAAGGUGUAACACUGCUAGUUUGGAGAUAAAUAAUGGAAUGCUGCCAUCAAAAAAGCCUUGGACUUUUGAAUAAGGAGAUUGAAAGCAACUGAUCAAAUAUCCUCAAAAUGUUUACUGAAGUGGGUAUUGACAAAAGUUUUUUGUUGAGACAUCAGUGACAAAAAUUCUAGUGAAAUGUUCUGUUACUUUAUAGUCCUGCUCUUUGGCCAACUCUAUAUAAUUUAUGAAGUGGAACUUAAUUAACCUCUUUUGAAUAUGAUGUCCUGUUCCUGAGGAUGAAGUUGUGCUGGAUUUUAAGGCAUUGUCACUUGUGCAGCCAAGCUUUAAUAAGAUUUUGUUUCUGAAGAUUCUGAGUCUCUGAAACAUUUUCUAUUCAAUAUUACAAAAUACUUAUUAUUCAGUAAGACACAAAGCAGAUUAAAAUGGAGGGGUCCUUAGGAACAAAUUACUUAUACAAAGGGCAUUAAGAUACUUAAGACAGAAAUUUCAGCCAAAGAAAUAUAUGAAUUAACAAAAGUCAUUAAAGAUUAAAAAAGAUGAAGAAAACAACAGAAAUGGCUCAUGUUACUGCCUUAAGUUGCCACUAAGACAAAUUCUAUUUAUAAAAUUAAGUAACUUGCACAGUAUAAAAGUAUCAUUCUUCAGUAUCAUCUGUUCUUAUCAUCUUCUUAGUGGUAGAGAGAAAAAUUAAUAUGCAAGAGGACUUCUAUAAUGGUUAAAAUUCAGAAUAAUGCAAAUGCUGGCUAAAAAGUCAUGUAGGGUGAUCAAACCUUGCAACUUUACCAUUUAUUUUCCAGUUGGACAUUACUGUUGAUGAUAAGACUGUUAACCAUUAAAAAAUUAUUUUUAUAUAUUUGGUCAUGUCAAUGACUAGUUCAAUUUAUUAAAAAAAUUCUGAAAUGAAGCAUAAAGUGCCUGGAGAGAGACAGAGAAGGAAAAGAGAAAGAGAAUGAUCAAUGGGAAUAGAAAGAGGCAAAUGAAUAUGAAAAUAAUAUUUAAAUUAUUUUUUACCU